rnacentral:rRNA from 1 species
ACGCUGGCGGCGUGCCUAACACAUGCAAGUCGAGCGAGAAAAUUCCUUCGGGAAUGAGUACAGCGGCGGACGGGUGAGCAACGCGUGAGUUAUCUGCCCUUCAGUGAAGAAUACCGCCGAGAAAUCGGUGUUAAUGCUGCAUACGUCCCUUCGGGGAGAAAAGUGGCCUCUUUGCUACUGCUGGAGGAUGAGCUUGCGUACUAUUAGCUAGUUGGUGGGGUAAAGGCCUACCAAGGCGAAGAUGGUUAACCGGCCUGUGAGGGUGUUCGGUCACACUGGAACUGAGAAACGGUCCAGACUCCUACGGGAGGCAGCAGUGAGGAAUAUUGCGCAAUGGGCGAAAGCCUGACGCAGCGACGCCGCGUGGAGGAUGAAGGUCUUCGGAUUGUAAACUUCUGUUAAGUGGGAAGAAAAAGUUACUCUUAAUACGGGUAACCAAUGACGGUACCAUUAGAGAAAGCACCGGCUAAACUCGUGCC